CACGGCAUGCAGGUUCAGAAAUACCAGGCCGUGUGCACAGAACUCUAGGCAGGAUCAUGCGGAAAGCCCACAAAACAGAUUCAUAACCCAAGAGCUCCACGGACCUUAUGUUUUUGUCUAUACCUUGCUGUCACCUGUACGAUGUUUUACGAUGUAAAGAGUGAAGAAUAAAGUUUCUGGCUACUGGAAAGUGUCAUGUAAACAGUUAGCUGUAACUGUGAAGGAGGAAACCGUGCCAAGAGAACCGUCGGGCCCCAUAGCCAAAGAGAAGGAUAACCAUGGCGGUAAGCCCUUACAUUGGAUUCCACAAGUGAAGUUGAAAGAGUCAGCGAUAGUCAGCUCCCAAGUCAAGCCUAAUUCCUGUCACGUCUCAGUCAGUCUAGUCACGUCAAGACUAUUUUACUCAAGUCUGUCAAUGUCAAGUUCAGACCAGUCAAGUCCCAUCUAUGUUGAGGAGGACUACAAGGUUCACAAGUGGUUUCCCUAACCUUGCAAUUGAGUUACAUCCCGCUCCAUGCUCAGCCAAAUCACAGAGCAAAGAAGGGGAGCAGGACAUCACCAGAAGAAGGAAGAACAACACAGGAGUGGCGACUCCUGCAGCA